rnacentral:rRNA from 1 species
AGAGCGAACGCUGGCGGCAGGCCUAACACAUGCAAGUCGAACGGAUCCUUCGGGAUUAGUGGCGGACGGGUGAGUAACACGUGGGAACGUGCCUUUUGGUUCGGAACAACUCAGGGAAACUUGAGCUAAUACCGGAUGUGCCCUUCGGGGGAAAGAUUUAUCGCCAUUAGAGCGGCCCGCGUCUGAUUAGCUAGUUGGUGGGGUAAAGGCCUACCAAGGCUACGAUCAGUAGCUGGUCUGAGAGGAUGAUCAGCCACAUUGGGACUGAGACACGGCCCAAACUCCUACGGGAGGCAGCAGUGGGGAAUCUUGCGCAAUGGGCGAAAGCCUGACGCAGCCAUGCCGCGUGAAUGAUGAAGGUCUUAGGAUUGUAAAAUUCUUUCACCGGGGACGAUAAUGACGGUACCCGGAGAAGAAGCCCCGGCUAACUUCGCGCCAGCAGCCGC